AUGAGCAAUAUUGAUGUGCCAGCUGAGGCCCCUUGGAUGGUUGCGGGCGAUUUCAAUAUGUACCGGUUUUCUUCUGAAAAAUCUCGAGGUAAUAUCAACUGGAGAGUCAUGGAAACUUUCAAUUCCUGGGUUAGGAAUAAUGGCCUGGACGAUGUUCACUUGGAUAACAAAAAUUUCACCUGGUCCAACAAGAGAAGUACCCCUACACUGGCUCGGUUAGAUCGUGUGUUGGUCAAUGCUUUUUGGAACCUCGGUUUUAUGCAGACCACUGCCGCCGUCGUGCCAUCCACUACUUCUGACCACACCCCCAUCUUGGUUCAGUUCGAUACUAAUGCAAUGAGAAGCAGCUUGUUUAGGAUGGAAAACCACUGGCUAGCGAUGGAGGGAACAAGGAGCAUCAUCUUUGAGAGUUGGACAAGGGGACACAGAACUCUGCUUUCUUCAGCUUCUAUCAUCAGUUUUAAGAUGAGAAGAGUUAGAGCUGCCAUCCGCGCUUGGAGCCGGAGGAAAUCAAGCCUCAAAGUAUAUAUAGACAACAACAAGCAUGUGGUGAAUUUCCUGAAUGCAGUUGAGGAAAGGCGCCCCCUUUCGACCCUCGAAGUGGUGCUUCGGGAGAUCGCUUCUGCCAAGGCUGAGUAG
rnacentral:rRNA from 1 species